GUGGGAGAAAGUCUUGCCAGAACCUCUGUCAUAAAGCUAGCAAAGAUCAUAGAUCCUCAAAGAGACUGCCUUUGGUUUUUUUCUAAAGUAGUAUUCACUCCAGAUGACUACAGCCUCUGUCCCAACAUCUGCCAUGUUUUUGCCCUAGGUGUUCUGCUCCUGCCCUCCAAGAGCCUGAGAAGGUUAACUUUGUAAUCCCCGACUAGGAACAGAGAGAAAAGACAGGUGAAAACAGGUUAAUACCAGAGAAAAGAACUGACUCUCAAUUUUACUUAAAGCCUUUCCUUUUUAUCAUCUGCUCUUAAGACAUGAUCAGCCUGCUCUCAGCACACAGCACCUGAUGCUGGGCAUCUUGCAUCCAAGAGCAAGUCCUGUUUCCUUACUUUCAACUUAUCCUACUGUGGGAUGUAGUAACAUAUUGGGUUAUCAGUCAAGCUAUUAGGCUGGCUGUAACUAUUUUUAAUGAAAUACCACAAAAUGAUAGAAAAAAAUAUUUGAAAAAUGAGGAUUUGACCACUUUACAUGUGUUAUAUAUUCUGGACAUGAUGUUCAAAUGGUAAAUUCUGAAAAGUUAUCUUCCAUAUAAUGUCAUUUUUUGCAGAACUAUCUUGC